ACACACACACACACACACACACACACACACACCACCCGACAUUCACUGACCAACACACACACACACACACCACCCGACAUGCACUGACUAACACACACACACACGCACACAUUUUAUAGAUAUGUUCACUGUAUAAAUAAGUGUUUCAUCUUUACAAUGAGGUCACACACAGUUGCAUGUGUAUUAUGUCCACAUAAUGAAUAAACUUAUAAUACUUUUUAUGGAUCUUAUUAGGAGCCUGUGCUCAUCCAGAGCGAGUCACAUGAUGACGUCAGCAGUUUACAUUGGAUCAGACUCCACGUUACACACAUCUCAACACACUCCAGAUGUCCGUGUGCUACACACUGUGCAGAUGGCGCCCCGGCUGAGCAGAAGUCGCUUUGUUACUGAGGUCCCACCAGCUUCCAAGUAGAUGUUCAUCUAUUCUCAGUCUGCACUGUAGCAGGUCAUGACCCCCCCGAAGGAAACUGGUGAAGGAACCAGCGGUUAGGAGAUGGAGAAGGUGGUUCUCCUGAUGGAGGCUCAUCUGAACUUCUGAGGAGCCUCCAUGACUUGACCUGUGGUUUCAACCUUUCAUACGUAAGGUGGAAACAUGCUCGACCAUCUGCCCCCCAAGAGCCAAUUCUGGUGUCUCAGUGGCAGAAGACCCCACCAGGCCUCGGGCUACGCCUGGGCACCACCUCCCUCCACCAGCACCGCCUGGUGAAGAGGACCCGGAGUUACACGUCCAUCUCCAGGACAUUUAGGAGUUCUUAAUUCAUCUUUCAGCUCACGGAUGCUUUGAAUUAGAAAAGAGAAGAAAUGACCUUCGUGUGUGUGUGAAGUUGUGACUGAAUGAAGAUCUGAGGCGUGUUCACGUCCUCCAUAAAGACUCUGUUGUUGUGUCUGUUGGAGGUUGCUUUGAAGGUCUUUGUGGUUGUUUUGUGUCUUUUUGUGAUUCAUUUACAUCUUCUGAUCCGUUUGUCUCAUUCUUUGUGUGUUUGUGGUCAUUUUAUUCUGUAUGUGAACCGGAGAAUAAACUCCUUAAGUGGUGAAAUCAAGUCUGUGACGCUGACUACGAAUGUUUGCAGGUACACAUUUAUUCUCAGGCAUAAAGAAAGUUUACUUGUUUGCAGACAGCUGUGAAACUGCACGAUCCCCCUCAUGUCUCCCCCCCCCCCCUCAUGCCUCCCCCCUCAUGCCUCCCCCCCUCCCGUCUUGCUCACGCAGCCUCUCGCAUCAUUUCCCUCCAUCGCUGUCAUGUUUGGACAGAUUGCACACGGCGGUUUGGCCUGGAUGUUGCGCUGCGGUCGGGGAGGUUUCUCAACACCAAGUGCUGCUUCUGAGGCCUGCGUCGCUACGCUGAUAGCGUUGGUUACCACGACGACGGGUGACGGUAGAGCGAGUCUGGGUGUGAAGUUACCUUCUGUCCACUUUGUAUUUGUGACGUUGAUCUGCAGGUCGCUACAACGUGCUCCUUGUGAGAGUCAGAUUGCUACUCUCGUUAGCUCGGUAGCUUUAGCUGGUUUAUCUAAAGUGAUGCGUUCAUGGACCCUCGUAGGCCUUGGUGCAGAUUAACCCGAAGCAAAGAUGGAUGAAUAUUAACAACGAGCCUCAGUGUUCUCCGCGCUCUGUAACACUCGCGCAUGUACUUUGGAUGUCAGAGACGUGAGACGUUGAGCGUUGAUUCAAACUGACAAUAAAACAGUGUUUGUCCUCAGGGCCUCGUCUCCACAACUCCGCCUUCCACAAGUCCUGUUGGUGUAAUGUCCCCGCUGAAUGCCGCCGCGGGUUUAACCUCAUUUAUUCAGGUUCAUACUCUCAUUCUCAUUAAGCAGCGCCUUGGACCUCUGGAGUUUAUACUGAAGUGUUUCUGUUUUAAACUCUGAUCUGAAACCAGCCAAGAAACUGCUGCUGAAUUCUGCACAUCGGCUGCAACAAAUGGGACUCCUUAUGACCCCCUUGCCUUUCGUCUCAGGUCUCCUCCAGUGUUUGACACUUGUUUAGCCACCAGCUGUCCACACGUCUCAGUAGAUCCCAGAGGCUUACGGGAUGAUAGCGCUCAGAUAAACAGUGAUACAGCAGAAACCAGGACUACCGUGUGGAGAGAGAGUUUCCCUGGAUGGCCCCCAGCCUUCUGCCCAGCACCAACUGGAUCGGGUGGAUGAUCGUCGCCAUGGAUGCAGAGCGGCACCACCCAGCGGCCCACUUUACAACCUCACAUUUUCAUGCUCAUUGUGAUAUUUCAAUGUCAAAGAAUCUGCAAAUUGCAAAGAAUUGCUAAAAACCAUUUGUUUCAACUUCUACCUAAACGUGUUUCCUGUGACGUGGUUUCCUGUCUGACGUGGUUUCCUGUGUUGGUUUCCGUUGUGACGUGGUUUCCUGUGUGACGUGGUUUCCUGUGACGUGGUUUCC
ensembl:lncRNA